rnacentral:lncRNA from 1 species
UAUUGCAAAUGAUGAGACGUUCUGUGGCAAAGACUUGCACAAUUUAAAAUCAGUUACUUCUGGUGGCUGCUCGUGGACGGUUGUUUUAAGCGGACUAAAUAAAAAGGAAUAAAAAAAGUGGUAUUAGAGAAAAAGCAAGAAGAGCGAAAAGGAUAUAAAUUAAGCUCUUUUUAUAUGAAAAAAGAGAUUUUUUCCAUUCUCUUAAAGAGAUAACGGUAAAACAUUUAUAAAGGAUUGCUCUCGCAGUCUGUCGUGUUGAAAACGUUGAACUAGACGGUUGCUUGCUGAGGCUGGUCUGUUGGUGUUAGAAUAUAUUAAAUGAUUAAAAUUAAAGAAGUUAAA